rnacentral:rRNA from 1 species
CACGUAGGGCGCAAGCGUUGUCCGGAAUUAUUGGGCGUAAAGAGCUCGUAGGUGGUUUGCUGCGUCCGCUGUGAAAACCCAAGGCUUAACCUUGGGCUUGCAGUGGAUACGGGCAGACUAGAGGUAGGUAGGGGAGAACGGAAUUCCCGGUGUAGCGGUGAAAUGCGCAGAUAUCGGGAGGAACACCGGUGGCGAAGGCGGUUCUCUGGGCCUGUACUGACGCUGAGGAGCGAAAGCGUGGGGAGCGAACAGG